ensembl:scaRNA
CUGGAGGACCAAGAAGGCUGAGUCUGAUGAAGCAAGACUUUGCUGAUACACUCCUCCUACACAAAGGAGUGGAGAAAGCAGCCCUUAUCAGAA